rnacentral:rRNA from 1 species
AGCCGCGGUAAUACGGAGGGUGCAAACGUUGCUCGGAAUUAUUGGGCGUAAAGCGCACGUAGGCGGCCGAAUAAGUCGGGUGCGAAAGCCCUGGGCUCAACCCAGGAAGUGCACUCGAAACUGCUCGGCUUGAGUAUGGAAGAGGGUUGCGGAAUUCCCGGUGUAGAGGUGAAAUUCGUAGAUAUCGGGAGGAACACCAGUGGCGAAGGCGGCAACCUGGGCCAAUACUGACGCUGAGGUGCGAAAGCGUGGGGAGCAAAC